rnacentral:rRNA from 1 species
UACGUAGGGUGCAAGCGUUGUCCGGAAUUAUUGGGCGUAAAGAGCUCGUAGGCGGUCUGUCGCGUCGGCUGUGAAAACUUGGGGCUCAACCCCAAGCCUGCAGUCGAUACGGGCAGACUAGAGUGCGGUAGGGGAGACUGGAAUUCCUGGUGUAGCGGUGAAAUGCGCAGAUAUCGGGAGGAACACCGGUGGCGAAGGCGGUUCUCUGGGCCUGUACUGACGCUGAGGAGCGAAAGCGUGGGGAGCGAACAGG